GGCUUAACACAUGCAAGUCGAGGGGCAGCAUGGUCCUAGCUUGCUAAGGCCGAUGGCGACCGGCGCACGGGUGAGUAACACGUAUCCAACCUGCCGUCUACUCUUGGACAGCCUUCUGAAAGGAAGAUUAAUACAAGAUGGCAUCAUGAGUCCGCAUGUUCACAUGAUUAAAGGUAUUCCGGUAGACGAUGGGGAUGCGUUCCAUUAGAUAGUAGGCGGGGUAACGGCCCACCUAGUCUUCGAUGGAUAGGGGUUCUGAGAGGAAGGUCCCCCACAUUGGAACUGAGACACGGUCCAAACUCCUACGGGAGGCAGCAGUGAGGAAUAUUGGUCAAUGGGCGAGAGCCUGAACCAGCCAAGUAGCGUGAAGGAUGACUGCCCUAUGGGUUGUAAACUUCUUUUAUAAAGGAAUAAAGUCGGGUAUGCAUACCCGUUUGCAUGUACUUUAUGAAUAAGGAUCGGCUAACUCCGUGCCAGCAGCCGCGGUAAUACGGAGGAUCCGAGCGUUAUCCGGAUUUAUUGGGUUUAAAGGGAGCGUAGAUGGAUGUUUAAGUCAGUUGUGAAAGUUUGCGGCUCAACCGUAAAAUUGCAGUUGAUACUGGAUAUCUUGAGUGCAGUUGAGGCAGGCGGAAUUCGUGGUGUAGCGGUGAAAUGCUUAGAUAUCACGAAGAACUCCGAUUGCGAAGGCAGCCUGCUAAGCUGCAACUGACAUUGAGGCUCGAAAGUGUGGGUAUCAAACAGGAUUAGAUACCCUGGUAGUCCACACGGUAAACGAUGAAUACUCGCUGUUUGCGAUAUACGGCAAGCGGCCAAGCGAAAGCGUUAAGUAUUCCACCUGGGGAGUACGCCGGCAACGGUGAAACUCAAAGGAAUUGACGGGGGCCCGCACAAGCGGAGGAACAUGUGGUUUAAUUCGAUGAUACGCGAGGAACCUUACCCGGGCUUAAAUUGCAGAUGAAUUACGGUGAAAGCCGUAAGCCGCAAGGCAUCUGUGAAGGUGCUGCAUGGUUGUCGUCAGCUCGUGCCGUGAGGUGUCGGCUUAAGUGCCAUAACGAGCGCAACCCUUGUUGUCAGUUACUAACAGGUUCCGCUGAGGACUCUGACAAGACUGCCAUCGUAAGAUGUGAGGAAGGUGGGGAUGACGUCAAAUCAGCACGGCCCUUACGUCCGGGGCUACACACGUGUUACAAUGGGGGGUACAGAGGGCCGCUACCACGCGAGUGGAUGCCAAUCCCCAAAACCUCUCUCAGUUCGGACUGGAGUCUGCAACCCGACUCCACGAAGCUGGAUUCGCUAGUAAUCGCGCAUCAGCCACGGCGCGGUGAAUACGUUCCCGGGCCUUGUACACACCGCCCGUCAAGCCAUGGGAGCCGGGGGUACCUGAAGUGCGUAACCGCGAGGAGCGCCCUAGGGUAAAACUGGUGACUGGGGCU
rnacentral:rRNA from 1 species